CGGUGGGCAAUUAGAGAUAUUCCCAAGACCUACAGGAAGCGGAGGAGGAGGCAUUCCGCUGGCCCAUGCCUGGUGCAAAUCUAUCAAUUGUUACCUGAGCCUUACUACCUCAUCAUUGUGUUCUGAACUUUCUUCCCUGUGAUCCUGAUCCGGGUCAAUGAGUGAAUUUUCAUUCUCCCUGCUAGCCAUGGUGAGCUUUUCUUUGGAUCUAGUGAAGUAUGGGUGACUAGCCAGAGUGCUGCAAACCUAC
rnacentral:lncRNA from 1 species